rnacentral:rRNA from 1 species
UAGGGAAUCUUCGGCAAUGGGGGGAACCCUGACCGAGCAACGCCGCGUGAGUGAAGAAGGCUUUCGGAUCGUAAAGCUCUGUUGUUAAGGAAGAACGAGUGUGAGAAUGGAAAGUUCAUGCUGUGACGGUACUUAACCAGAAAGGGACGGCUAACUACGUGCCAGCAGCCGCGGUAAUACGUAGGUCCCGAGCGUUGUCCGGAUUUAUUGGGCGUAAAGCGAGCGCAGGCGGUUAGAAAAGUCUGAAGUGAAAGGCAGUGGCUCAACCAUUGUAGGCUUUGGAAACUGUUUAACUUGAGUGCAGAAGGGGGGAGUGGAAUUCCAUGUGUAGCGGUGAAAUGCGUAGAUAUAUGGAGGAACACCGGUGGCGAAGGCGGCUCUCUGGUCUGUAACUGACGCUGAGGCUCGAAAGCGUGGGGAGCGAACAGG